UCCAGACUCCUACGGGAGGCAGCAGUGAGGAAUAUUGGUCAAUGGGCGGGAGCCUGAACCAGCCAUGCCGCGUGAAGGCGAGUGCCCUACGGGCGUUAAACUUCUUUUGUGCGGGAGCAAUAAGGGCCACGCGUGGCCCGAUGAGAGUACCGCACGAAUAAGCAUCGGCUAACUCCGUGCCAGCAGCCGCGGUAAUACGGGGGAUGCGAGCGUUAUCCGGAUUUAUUGGGUUUAAAGGGUGCGUAGGCGGACGCUUAAGUCAGCGGUAAAAUUGCGGGGCUCACCCUCGUCGAGCCGUUGAAACUGGGUGCCUUGAGUGGGCGAGAAGUACGCGGAAUGCGUGGUGUAGCGGUGAAAUGCAUAGAUAUCACGCAGAACUCCGAUUGCGAAGGCAGCGUACCGGCGCCCAACUGACGCUGAAGCACGAAGGCGUGGGUAUCGAACAGGAUUAGAUACCCGCGUA
rnacentral:rRNA from 1 species